rnacentral:tRNA from 1 species
UUAGAAAGAAGGGACUCGAACCCAUAUUGUGGAGAUCAAAACCCCAAAGUGUUUCCAUUACACCACUUCCUA